GUGCCCACUUUGCAAGCACAUAUAUUAAAAUUGGAACUCUAUAGAGACGAUUAGCACAGCCUCUGUGCAAGGAUGAUAUGCAAAUUCAUGGAGCUUUCCACAUUGGA
ensembl:snRNA U6 U6 spliceosomal RNA